UAACGAAUCUUCCCCAAUGCACGAAAGUGUGAGGGAGCGACGCCGCGUGUGGGACGAAGUCCUUCGGGAUGUAAACCACUGUCAGGGGUUACCAAGUUCUGAGGAGCCCCAGAGGAAGAGGCGGCUAACUCUGUGCCAGCAGCCGCGGUAAGACAGAGGCCUCAAGCGUUAGGCGGAAUCACUGGGCUUAAAGCGUGUGUAGGCGGAUCGUUAAGUGUCUUGUGAAAUCCCACGGCUCCCCCGUGGAACUGCUGGGCAUACUGGCGAUCUUGGGCCAACUAGGGGCAACUGGAACAAGCGGUGGAGCGGUGAAAUGCGUAGAUAUCGCUUGGAACGCCGAAGGUGAAAACAGGUUGCUGGGGUUGUGCCGACGCUGAGACACGAAAGCCAGGGGAGCAAAC
rnacentral:rRNA from 1 species